CAGUGUUUCCCAAAGCACAAAAUGACGUCCUCAAAUGACUAUGUCUUGUUUUGUCCACAACUCAAAGAUCUUCAGUUUACUGUCACAGAGGAGAGAAGAAACUAGGAAAUAGUCACAUUUAAGAGGCUGAGAUCAGAGAAUUUUGACUUUUGUC